GGUGCUUCCUGACUGAGCAGCCUGCUGCCCCCAGCCGAGUUUGGUGGCAGCAGUGGGAUCCAAAUGAGACAUCUGAUGGCUUAGGGGAUGAGAAACACAGGCAUUGGUACCUGCAAAACCUUUGAGUUCUCCAUCCUUUUUGCUGUUUCUGAGGGCCGUGGCUCCAGCGCCAGCUACAGAGCUCCAGCC